GCGUCCCUUGAAUAAGAUGGAUGUGUUUUUUGCACGUGUAUAAUUUUGUCGAUUUUUUCAAUAUUCAAUAAAAUGGGAGUGGAUAUUACUACUUGGCGUGUGAGAAUUGGAUGUUUUGUGGUAAAACAAAGACUUGCCAAAUGUGUAAAGAUGCUUAUUUUGUCUAAAGGAGUUAAAAAGUCGAUCUCUUUCAUUUGGCGCCUGAGCACGUGCAUGGCUAUCUUGAUAAUUCUGUGUGGCGAUGUGGAGAGAAAUCCUGGUCCGCCCAGACAGGACCCGGCACGUAACAAAAAGCAGCCUCUAGACUCACGGGCCUGUGAAGGUCUCUCUAAAGCCACAACCCCUCGACACGAUACAUUAGACGGCGUGGUGACGAGGCAGCGGACAAUGUCAUCUUAUGCCUUUUCUCAACCGUCGCCAUCGCCAUUGCAUAACAGCGGGACUACUCAAAACAGCCAAAAUUGCACUGCAUAGAGUACAUGAGGCAGUCUGGAGAGUACUGAACGCUGGCCCAGAAGGAUUUCACACAUGCCCCGCAGACUCUAGUGUCACAUCAGACUGUGUAUUUACACCCGAUUCUACAAAACCACACUCUUAGACUUAACAGCUUCACCUUGGUCAAGAAAGGUGAGAGUAAAACAAGAGACUCACGAAGCUUCAUCCACCCCAGCACAGUCGUAUGCAAGACUGCCUGCCUUACCCCAGCGUCUAUUUCUGAUCUCUCUGUUGUACCUCAGUCUCCAAAUGAAGGAUCCAUAAAUAAAACUGCUGAAGACAGUUAAAAACCCAGAAGUGCUAUGGAAGACCUGUAUGGUGAUGUUCUGGAUGUGAAAGUUGAACCUGCAAAACCAGUAUCAACCAGAGCUUGGGAUGAACUGCAACUUUAUAGAUCUGUAC